CACUAUGCCUAGCCGUAAACAUUGAUAGAAUUCUACACCCUCUAUCCGCCUGGGUACUACGAGCAUCAGCUUGAAACCCAAAGGACUUGGCGGUACUUUAGAUCCCCCUAGAGGAGCCUGUUCUAUAACCGAUGACCCCCGUUCAACCUCACCCUCCCUUGUUUUUCCCGCCUAUAUACCGCCGUCGUCAGCUUACCCUGUGAAGGUCUAAUAGUAAGCAAAAUUGGCACCGCCCAGAACGUCAGGUCGAGGUGUAGCGCAUGAGAGGGGAAGAAAUGGGCUACAUUCGCUACCACUAGCGAAUACGAACGAUGCACUGAAAACGUUCAUCUGAAGGAGGAUUUAGCAGUAAGUGGAAAAUAGAGUGUUCCGCUGAAAUCGGCUCUGAAGUGCGUACACACCGCCCGUCACUCUCCCCAAGCUCAUCACUACACAUAUAUAAAACGCCCUAAUUGCGAAGGGGAGGCAAGUCGUAA
rnacentral:rRNA from 1 species